GUAAGUGAAUGUGUGUGUGUUCAUGUGUGUACAUAUGUACGUGUGCAUGUGCAUGUGCAU
rnacentral:miRNA from 1 species